GGCGACGCCUUGAAUGCGGCGGCGUUCGUUGGCGCUGAUGUUGCCGACGGAGAUGACGCCGACGGUGCCUGUGCCGCUUAGGCCGGCGGUGGUGUUGC
rnacentral:tRNA from 1 species